rnacentral:sRNA from 1 species
GGCGGCCGCGCCCGCUUGCGUCCUCUUGUUCUCUUCCAGGCACCCAAAAAGAAAGGGAAGAAAGGCAAAGCCAAAGGCACCCCGAUUGUCGAUGGGCUCGCUCCAGAGGACAUGAGCAAGGAGCAGCUGUUUAUUUUUAGGUGGAGGAGCAUGUCAGCCGCAUCCGGGAGGAGCUGGACCGUGAGCGGGAGGAACGAAACUACUUCCAGCUGGAGCGGGACAAGAUCCACACCUUCUGGGAGAUCACACGGAGGCAGCUGGAGGAGAAGAAGGCUGAGCUGCGGAACAAAGACCGGGAGAUGGAAGAAGCCGAGGAGAGGCACCAGGUGGAGAUCAAGGUG